GCCGUUAACCCUAUUUGUUAGGGUUUCAUUUGGCAAGCCGCCAUCGAACCACCAUUUUAUUUGGUGACAGACAGUUCUCAGGCCAGAUUUAGUACAUGCCCACGGAGUACGGAGUAUGGUGUCGCGUGUACGGGGCUGUGCUGGCGCUUGGCGUGAGGAGUACGGAGGCGCGCGUGGCUGUCAUACGGUGCUGAAGGUGCAUGGAGGCUGGGGCUUGACUACGGCGCAAAGUGGGAGAAGCCCUAGGGUUUCUGUUAGGGUUUUAAUUUUUCGGGCCUGCUGGGCCGUGAAUUCUUGGGUCUAGACUUUUUUGGGCUUGUUUUGGGUUUGUAUUGGGUCUGGGAUUUGGGUUAUGUAAUUGGACAUUUUAAUGGACUGUUAAUAUUUGAUUUUUGUGUUUA